rnacentral:rRNA from 1 species
UACGUAGGGGCCGAGCGUUGUCCGGAGUUAUUGGGCGUAAAGCGCGCGCAGGCGGCUUGGCGCGCCCGACGUGAAAGCCCCCGGCUUAACCGGGGAGAGUCGUCGGGGACGGCCGGGCUUGAGGGCGGGAGAGGGUGGUGGAAUUCCCGGUGUAGUGGUGAAAUGCGUAGAGAUCGGGAGGAACACCUGUGGCGAAGGCGGCCACCUGGGCCGACCCUGACGCUGAGGCGCGACAGCGUGGGGAGCAAACAGG